UACGGGGGGGGCAAGCGUUGUUCGGAAUUACUGGGCGUAAAGGGCUCGUAGGCGGCCAACUAAGUCCGACGUGAAAUCCCAAGGCUUAACCUUGGAACUGCGUCGGAUACUGGAUGGCUUGAAUUCGGGAGAGGGAUGCAGAAUUCCAGGUGUAGCGGUGAAAUGCGUAGAUAUCUGGAGGAACACCGGUGGCGAAGGCGGCAUCCUGGACCGAUACUGACGCUGAGGAGCGAAAGCCAGGGGAGCAAACGGG
rnacentral:rRNA from 1 species